rnacentral:rRNA from 1 species
UACGGAGGGUGCGAGCGUUAUCCGGAAUCACUGGGUUUAAAGGGUGCGUAGGCGGCUCGGUAAGUCAGUUGUGAAAGCCCCUUGCUUAACGAGGGAGGUGCGAUUGAUCCUGUCGAGCUUGAAUCGGGAUGAGGCAGGCGGAAUGUGGCAUGUAGCGGUGAAAUGGAUAGAUAUGCCAUAGAACACCGAUUGCGAAGGCAGCCUGCUGGGGCUGUAUUGACGCUGAGGCACGAAAGCGUGGGGAGCAAACAGG